AGAGGUCGCGGCCCCCGCCUGUCCUGGCGCCGCCAUGGAGCGCAUCGAGGGGGCGUCCGUGGGCCGCUGCGCCGCCUCACCCUACCUGCGGCCGCUCACGCUGCAUUACCGCCAGAAUGGUGCCCGGAAGUCCUGGGACUUCAUGAAGACGCAUGACAGCGUGACCGUUCUCUUAUUCAACUCUUCUCGGAGGAGCCUGGUGUUGGUGAAGCAGUUCCGGCCAGCUGUGUAUGCGGGUGAGGUGGAGCGCCACUUCCCAGGGUCCCUAGCAGCUGUAGACCAGGACAGGCCUCGGGAGCUACAGCCAGCCCUGCCUGGCUCAGCUGGGGUGACAGUUGAGCUGUGUGCCGGCCUCGUGGACCAGCCUGGGCUCUCGCUGGAGGAAGUGGCUUGCAAGGAGGCUUGGGAGGAGUGUGGCUACCACUUGGCCCCCUCUGAUCUGCGCCGGGUCGCCACAUACUGGUGAGUGGGACCAGGCUCUCAGGCCUGUGGUGUGGCUUAGGAGAUGGGAGAGAGUGAGGGCCCCGUCCCUGGGAGUAUGCAAGCAGGAUGGAUUCUUCCUUGUUUUUC
rnacentral:sRNA from 1 species